rnacentral:rRNA from 1 species
CCUACGGGAGGCAGCAGUGAGGAAUAUUCGUCAAUGGGCGGAAGCCUGAACCAGCCAAGUAGCGUGCAGGAUGACGGCCCUACGGGUUGUAAACUGCUUUUAUACGGGAAUAACGCGCCUUACGUGUAGGGCUUUGCAUGUACCGUAUGAAUAAGGACCGGCGAAUUCCGUGACAGCAGCCGUGGUAAUACGGAAGGUCCGGGCGUUAUCCGGAUUUUUUGGGUUUAAAGGGAGCGUAGGCCGCAUGAAAAGCGUGCUGUGAAAUGUCCGGGCCCAACCCGGGCCUUGCAGCGCGAACUGGCGAGCUUGAGUCCGCGGAAGGCAGGCGGAAUUAGUCGUGUAGCGGUGAAAUGCUUAGAUA